AUGGGGAGACGCCCGAAUCUCACCUAUGACCGUGAGCCUGGUGCCCGGCCCGAAGUACUGCUCGUAGGAGCACGGAGGUGCACCCCGGCACGCAAACCACUUAGGCUCCCUGAGCUCCUGCCCACCCUGGGGACCCAGCCCAGGUCUCCUAGCACAGGGCGGGACCAGGUGCCGCGAAGCAGCCACCUUCCACCCGGACCCCGCCGUCCGGCUGUUCCCGCGGCAACUCACCCAGCACGGUCAGCCGGCUGCCGGCCCCGAAAGUCAGGACGUUGGCCCCAGAGCACAGCCAGGGGACUCCCCACAAAAACCGGACCCAAGCCGCCCGCGCCCCUGCGGCCCGCGCUCACCGAGCACCAGGAGCCGCGUGCCUGGUCCGAAGUACUGGGUCUCUUGCUGUCCCCACAAUGUUACAGCUUUGUACAAAAAGCCCCUCCCACAGGUCUGCCGCCAGAGCCUGGGAGAAACCACCAAAGCAGCUGCUCCUUUGAGGGGAGUGGAGGGUGGGUGACAUCACUCCCCGUUGUGCAAGUUGGGGGUGGGGUAUGGAGCAGGCCAGGGACUUCCUUCUCACCUCCAGGCACUGUUCUCAGAACGUUUUGAGGUCCUUAGAGCUGGAUGUCUUUGUAAGGCUGUUUGGCUAAGGGGCUGGUCUUCUCCAGUACCCACCCCUCUCCAAGCUGUCACCAUGUUGGAGCACCUCCCUAUAGGGAAGCCACAGCCCCCGUCACUACCCUGAUCCUACCCUGAGGCUGUGUGUCACUUGGAGGGUUUUAAGCUCUGAGUUAAAAUCCAGAAAAAAAAAAAAAGAAAAAAAAGACAAGCUUAACUACAUACUGAUGACACACUUGCAUCAUAAAAUAUAAACAGAAUCAAAAUAUACAUGACAAUUUGGGAAAAAUAUUCCCCGUUCUCACCAUCAGGGCUAAUCUGCUCAACAUACAGUAAGCUCCUAAAAAUCAAUAAGAAAAUAACCCAGCAGCCCAAUAAAAAUGGGCAAAGAGUGAAUUGUUCA
rnacentral:lncRNA from 1 species